rnacentral:rRNA from 1 species
UUUCGGAUCGCGGCGACGCGGCGGUUCGCCGCCGGUGACGUUGUGAGAAGUUCAUUAAACCUUAUCAUUUAGAGGAAGGAGAAGUCGUAACAAGGUUUCCGUAGGUGAACCUGCGGAAGGAUCAUUG